AACGAACGCUGGCGGCAUGCCUAACACAUGCAAGUCGAACGAUUGCCUUCGGGUGAUAGUGGCGCACGGGUGCGUAACGCGUGGGAAUCUGCCCUUAGGUUCGGAAUAACAGCUGGAAACGGCUGCUAAUACCGGAUGAUAUCGCGAGAUCAAAGAUUUAUCGCCUGAGGAUGAGCCCGCGUUGGAUUAGGUAGUUGGUGGGGUAAAGGCCUACCAAGCCGACGAUCCAUAGCUGGUCUGAGAGGAUGAUCAGCCACACUGGGACUGACACACGGCCCAGACUCCUACGGGAGGCAGCAGUGGGGAAUAUUGGACAAUGGGCGCAAGCCUGAUCCAGCAAUGCCGCGUGAGUGAUGAAGGCCCUAGGGUUGUAAAGCUCUUUUACCCGGGAAGAUAAUGACUGUACCGGGAGAAUAAGCCCCGGCUAACUCCGUG
rnacentral:rRNA from 1 species